rnacentral:rRNA from 1 species
GAUGAACGCUGGCGGCGUGCCUAAUACAUGCAAGUCGAGCGAACAGACGAGGAGCUUGCUCCUCUGACGUUAGCGGCGGACGGGUGAGUAACACGUGGAUAACCUACCUAUAAGACUGGGAUAACUUCGGGAAACCGGAGCUAAUACCGGAUAAUAUAUUGAACCGCAUGGUUCAAUAGUGAAAGACGGUUUUGCUGUCACUUAUAGAUGGAUCCGCGCCGCAUUAGCUAGUUGGUAAGGUAACGGCUUACCAAGGCAACGAUGCGUAGCCGACCUGAGAGGGUGAUCAGCCACACUGGAACUGAGACACGGUCCAGACUCCUACGGGAGGCAGCAGUAGGGAAUCUUCCGCAAUGGGCGAAAGCCUGACGGAGCAACGCCGCGUGAGUGAUGAGGGUCUUCGGAUCGUAAAACUCUGUUAUUAGGGAAGAACAAAUGUGUAAGUAACUAUGCACGUCUUGACGGUACCUAAUCAGAAAGCCACGGCUAACUACGUG